GAGAGAUGGUGGACAGAUCAGGUA
rnacentral:miRNA from 1 species